CAGUCGCCGCGGUAAUACGGAGGGUGCAAGCGUUAAUCGGAAUUACUGGGCGUAAAGCGCACGCAGGCGGUUUGUUAAGUCAGAUGUGAAAUCCCCGAGCUUAACUUGGGAACUGCAUUUGAAACUGGCAAGCUAGAGUCUUGUAGAGGGGGGUAGAAUUCCAGGUGUAGCGGUGAAACGCGUAGAGAUCUGGAGGAAUACCGGUGGCGAAGGCGGCCCCCUGGACAAAGACUGACGCUCAGGUGCGAAAGCGUGGGGAGCAAACAGGAUUAGAUACCCCGGUAGUCCCUGUCUCUUAUAC
rnacentral:rRNA from 1 species